rnacentral:rRNA from 1 species
CCUACGGGUGGCAGCAGUGAGGAAUAUUGGUCAAUGGGCGCGAGCCUGAACCAGCCAAGUCGCGUGAAGGAUGACUGCCCUACGGGUUGUAAACUUCUUUUAUAAAGGAAUAAAGUGAGGCACGUGUGCCUCUUUGUAUGUACUUUAUGAAUAAGGAUCGGCUAACUCCGUGCCAGCAGCAGUGGUAAUACGGAGGAUCCGAGCGUUAUCCGGAUUUAUUGGGUUUAAAGUGAGCGUAGAUGGGUUGUUAAGUCAGUUGUGAAAGUUUGCGGCUCAACCGUAAAAUUGCAAUUGAUACUGGCAGUCUUGAGUACAGUUGGGGUAGGCGGAAUUCGUGGUGUAGCAGUGAAAUGCUUAGAUAUCGCGAAGAACUCCGAUUGCGAAGGCAGGUUACUAAACUGCCACUGACAUUGAUGCUCGAAGGUGUGGGUAUCAAACAGGAUUAGAUACCCUUGUAGUC